rnacentral:rRNA from 1 species
UAGAUACCCUGGUAGUCCACGCCGUAAACGAUGCUGACUCGUUUUUGGGUUUUCGGAUUCAGAGACCAAGCGAAAGUGAUAAGUCAGCCACCUGGGGAGUACGGGCGCAAGCCUGAAACUCAAAGGAAUUGACGGGGGCCCGCACAAGCGGUGGAUUAUGUGGUUUAAUUCGAUGAUACGCGAGGAACCUUACCAAGACUUAAAUGGGAAUUGACAGAUUUAGAGAUAGAUCUUUCUUCGGACAAUUUUC